rnacentral:rRNA from 1 species
GAUGAACGCUGGCGGCGUGCCUAAUACAUGCCAGUAGAACGCUGAAGGAAGGAGCUUGCUCUUUCCGGAUGAGUUGCGAACGGGUGAGUAACGCGUAGGUAACCUGCCUGGUAGCGGGGGAUAACUAUUGGAAACGAUAGCUAAUACCGCAUAACAGUAGAUGUUGCAUGAUAUCUACUUAAAAGGUGCAAUUGCACCACUACCAGAUGGACCUGCGUUGUAUUAGCUAGUUGGUGAGGUAACGGCUCACCAAGGCGACGAUACAUAGCCGACCUGAGAGGGUGAUCGGCCACACUGGAACUGAGACACGGCCCAGACUCCUACGGGAGGCAGCAGUAGGGAAUCUUCGGCAAUGGACGGAAGUCUGGCCGAGCAACGCCGCGUGAGUGAAGAAGGGUUUCGGAUCGUAAAGCUCUGUUGUAAGAGAAGAACGAGUGUGAGAGUGGAAAGUUCACACUGUGACGGUAUCUUACCAGAAAGGGACGGCUAACUACGUG